GAUUUGAACGGUUGAUUAAUUAUUCAGCUAGAAUUGAUCUCCACCUUCUAAAUAAUGUUUUGAAAGUUUUUUUUUUUUUUUUUUUUUUUGUGGUUUUGUUUGUGGAGAGCUUUCUUUGACAGAAGGUGGGGAAAUAGGGGGACCUCAGAAAGUGGUGGGGAAAUGGGGUGACCUCAGAAAGUGGUGGGGAAGAAUAAGGGCGUUUUUGGAAAAGUGGUGGGGAAAUGAGCUUCAUUGAAGGUGCCUUACAUGGUAUGAGCCUUUAGGUUUAGAAAACCUGCCACGUAAUGUCAUAUCACUGCAAAAAAUAUUAAAUUUUCAGAUUCUCUGAUUUUUAAAGUUUACAUUGAAAGUGUUUUACGAUAGAUGAGCCUUUCUUCAAGGUUGGACAUAUCAACUGAAGGCUCAUGGAUCUCAAAGAACUUUCAGUGUAAAUAUUUUUAACGGACCGUCUAUUUUUAGACGUGAAAACUAAACACUAAAGACGCUCCGACACGGGUGCGUUUUCACCAUUUUGGUCACAGAAAUUUUGACAAACCCAUUUAUUGGAUUUGCCCCCAAAAGGACACCAUUUUGGUCAAAAAAAAUCGGAAUUUUUAGAUCCCAGGACAAAGUUACAAAUUUGUAGGCUUUUUCUCUAUUUUGGACCGAAAAAUAGAAAAAGAAAAAAAGCUUCUUGAGGUUGUAGAGAGAAAUGAAGAUAUCUGCAAUUAGGACCGACAGGGCUCCAUUGUUAAAUCUCAAUCAAAGUACACUCCGUACAAACUGUGUUCCCCCUAUUCAACAUUUUCUAUUCCUUGGCCCCCACAAUCUCUGGAGCGAGGCCAGCAGCAUGAGGUCAGAUAUAAUUGUCGCCUCUCUUAACCCUAGGAACACACUUUAUAAUCCAACCAAUAGGCCAUGACAAUGACGAAAUCCCGAUGCAUGCAGCCCAUUGCGUCCAGUUCAGCCUUUCAGUAUCAGCAAACCUCCUCAGGAAUUCAACCAUAAUUACCUGGAGAAGUAUUGUCAUUCCCACUAUCCCAACAAACAGUCUGUUCUUCAGUAUUCCAUGGAAUAUGUUUUUCUUCUCCAAGUUCCUUGCAUUGAACUCAUUGAAGACUUGACAGAGUACGAAAGUAUUGAAGAUCAAGGUGUCUUUUACCUUCUUAUUCACAUGAAAGAUGGCACUUCCUUUGAACUGCAGGAUCAAUAGCACUGUUACUUGGUACAAGGCUUGAGCAAGGAGAUUCCUCCACAUCACACCAGUUAUCAGAGGUUCAGUUCGUCCAACUGGUUGCUUGUUCAUUAGAUCACUACUGGGUCGCUCAGUUGCCAAAGCUAAGGCCCCCAGAGUAUCCAUUAUGAGAUUCACCCACAGAAGUUGGACUGCUGUCAGUGGUACUUCUCCAGAUGAAGCAGCAGCGACAAAGUUGAUGACAAGGGCAGCAGCAUUUACUGUGAGCUGAAACUGAAUAAACUUUUGUAUGUUGUUAUACACGCACCUACCCCACUUCAAGACCGUGACCACUGUAUUGAAAUUGUCGUCCAAGAUAACUAUAUCGGAGCUCUCCUUUGCGACUUCUGUGCCUUGGAUCCCCAUGGAAAGUCCAACAUCUGCUGCUUUUAGUGCAGGAGCGUCAUUUGUUCCAUCGCCUGUUACUGCUACAACGUGGCCUUUCUGCUUCAAGCAUUCAACCAUCAAAAGCUUGUCAAACGGUGAAGACCUUGCCAUCACUCGUAUUUUUUCAACAAUCUCCAUUCUCUCUUCUUGUGAAUAAUUCCUGAAUGCCGGUCCUUCAAUAACUGCAAUGUUCAUGUCUUCACCUGGUUGGAGUAUUCCACAUUCAAAAGCUAUUGCUUUGGCUGUAAACACAUUGUCCCCAGUAAUCAUUUUGAUGCUAACACCAGCAGCCCUGCAAGAUUCUACUGCCUCUUUAACACCAGGCCGACAUGGGUCCUUUAGACCCACCAGACCCAGUAAGAUAGCUUACGGACCAUUGCAUUAUCAAGCAUCAUUCUUCUCAUAGAAUAUGCCAAGGUUAGCGUGACAGCCAAUGGCAAACCUUCUGGAAUUGCAACCACUAUGAUGGUUACUGCUGCAGCAAUUAUACGAAUCAAGGAAUUCAUUAUAUCAUCUGCUCUGGUUUUGCUUCCUACGAACUCCUUCUGACCACUGUCAUUUUCAGAAUGUCCCGUGAAGUAACGGAUCAUUAAGGUGAUUAGAACAAGAAAAGCCACCAAGAGACCAACGUUCCCUAUAUAUUUAGUAAGCUUAUUUAACCGAUGUUGCAGUGGCGUUUGCUCAUUCUUGUCAUCUGUUAUUGUGCACAUCAUCUGACCCCAUGCAUUAUUCUUCCCUACUGAUGUGACAAGCAUGUGUCCAUAUCCGUCCAUUACUUUUGUUCCGCAUACCAAAAAUGGGUUUUGUGUCUCGUUGAUUUGAACGUGAUCACUUUCACCUGCAGAAGUAGAUCCAAAUAUAAAUUUAAUGAGUUCAAAGUUCCGAGUUAGAAUAUAGGUUCAAAACUUAAUAUUUAUACUACUAUUUUAGGGUUUUCACAUUUAUGUCUAUUGUUUAUUACUGAAAAUGUCAUUUUCAGUUGGAUUUUGUCCGUCUAUAUUCACCUGUCAUGCUGGACUCAUCUACUUGCAGCGAGUGGCCAUCCAAAAAGAGUCCAUCUGCUGGUAUCUGAUCGCCAAUUUUGAGGCAGACAACAUCACCAACAACAAUAUCAAAGAUUGAUACUUCCUGUCUACGUCCGUCUCUCACUACCUCGACUUUGAUAUCCUUGCUAUCAUCCGAAAGCUUCAGAAACUGUCUGCUUUGUUUGAAGUUACUGACAGAUGAGACUGCAAGGACAAGAACAACUGCAA